GCCCGGCUAGCUCAAUCGGUAGAGCGUGAGACUCAUAUUAACAAGGUGGGGGGUUCGAGCCCCCGGCGGGCU
rnacentral:tRNA from 2 species